rnacentral:rRNA from 1 species
GAUUUCUGGUUUGAUGCGUUUGGCCCUCUCGGAGCAAUCCGGCGUGCGUGCCGAUGCGCGUCUGCCAUCCCUUGUAGAGAACGUUUCUACCCUUCACUGGGCCGGAUUCGCAAUCUACAUCUUUUACUUUGAAAAAAUUAGAGUGUUUAAAGCAGGCGUGAGCUAUGAAUACAUUAGCAUGGAAUAAUGAUUUAGGACUUGAGUCUUAUUUUGUUGGUUUCCAGGACUUUAGUAAUGAUUGACAGGGAUAGUUGGGGGUGCUAGUAUUCAGCGGCCAGAGGUGAAAUUCUUGGAUUCGCUGAAGACUAACUUAUGCGAAAGCAUU